GUCUAUGGCCAUACAACCCUGAAGGCUCCAGAUGUCAUCGGAUCUCAGAAGCUAAGCAGGGUUGGGUCUGGUCAGUACUUGGAUGGGAGAAAGACAGGGGAGUUUCUUCUAAAGUUU
rfam:Felis catus isolate Cinnamon breed Abyssinian chromosome B2, whole genome shotgun sequence.